rnacentral:rRNA from 1 species
UACGGGGGGGGCAAGCGUUGUUCGGAAUUACUGGGCGUAAAGGGCUCGUAGGCGGCCAACUAAGUCAGACGUGAAAUCCCUCGGCUUAACCGGGGAACUGCAUCUGAUACUGGAUGGCUUGAGUUCGGGAGAGGGAUGCGGAAUUCCAGGUGUAGCGGUGAAAUGCGUAGAUAUCUGGAGGAACACCGGUGGCGAAGGCGGCAUCCUGGACCGACACUGACGCUGAGGAGCGAAAGCUAGGGGAGCAAACAGG